GAUGAACGCUGGCGGCGUGCCUAAUACAUGCAAGUCGAGCGAACAGAUGAGGAGCUUGCUCCUCUGACGUUAGCGGCGGACGGGUGAGUAACACGUGGAUAACCUACCUAUAAGACUGGGAUAACUUCGGGAAACCGGAGCUAAUACCGGAUAAUAUAUUGAACCGCAUGGUUCAAUAGUGAAAGACGGUUUUGCUGUCACUUAUAGAUGGAUCCGCGCCGCAUUAGCUAGUUGGUAAGGUAACGGCUUACCAAGGCAACGAUGCGUAGCCGACCUGCGAGGGUGAUCGGCCACACUGGAACGGAGACACGGUCCAGACUCCUACGGGACGCAGCAGUAGGGAAUCUGCCGCAAUGGGCGAAAGCCUGACGGAGCAACGCCGCGUGAGUGAUGAAGGUCUUCGGAUCGUAAAACUCUGUUAUUAGGGAAGAACAAAUGUGUAAGUAACUAUGCACGUCUUGACGGUACCUAAUCAGAAAGCCACGGCUAACUACGUG
rnacentral:rRNA from 1 species